UACGGAGGAUGCGAGCGUUAUCCGGAUUUAUUGGGUUUAAAGGGUGCGUAGGCGGAUCGUUAAGUCAGUGGUCAAAUUGAGGGGCUCAACCCCUUCCCGCCAUUGAAACUGGCGAUCUUGAGUGGAAGAGAAGUAUGCGGAAUGCGUGGUGUAGCGGUGAAAUGCAUAGAUAUCACGCAGAACCCCGAUUGCGAAGGCAGCAUGCCGGCUUCCUACUGACGCUGAAGCACGAAAGCGUGGGGAUCGAACCGG
rnacentral:rRNA from 1 species